GUGGCUGUAUUUGGUACUGGUUGUGUUGGUCAGUGGUAUAAUGUGAUCCUAAGCAGCCGCAUACAUUAAGAAAUGAUUCUUGCUGACAGUAUGUCUAGUUAUUGGACUUCCUGUGUGAUGCUCCAUACACU